rnacentral:rRNA from 1 species
ACCAGGUCUUGACAUAUCCGUGGUAGUGAACUGAAAGGGGAACGACGGAGGCGAAUGCCUUCGAGCGGAUACAGGUGGUGCAUGGUCGUCGUCAGCUCGUGCCGUGAGGUGUUGGGUUAACUCCCGCAACGAGCGCAACCCCUGUGGUUAGUUGCCAACACGAAGGUGGGCACUCUAGCCAGACUGCCGCCGAAAAGGGGGGGAAGGAGGGGAUGAUGUCAGAUCAUCUUGCCCUUUAUGAUCGGGGCUACCCACGGUACAAUGGGGUGAGCAGAAGGGGACGAGGCUGCGAAGCCCACGGAAUCCCGAAAACGCCCCCCAGUUCAGAUUGCAGGCUGCAACUCGCCUGCAUAAAGAUGGAAUCGCUAGUAAUCGCAAAUCAGCAUGCUGCAGUGAAUACGUUCCCGGGUCUUGUACACAC